AAGUCGUAACAAGGUUUCCGUAGGUGAACCUGCGGAAGGAUCAUUAUUGAAUAAGCUUGAACAGGUUGUUGCUGGCCCCUCGGGGUAUGUGCACACUUGUCUUCUUUAUUUCUCCAACUGUGCACAUAUUGUAGACCUGGAAUUGUUUUUGUGAUUCACUCGAGUUGGGACUGCUGUGCUUCCUUUGUUUGAAGUCGGCUUUCCCUUUUCAUUUCCUGGUCUAUGUAGUUUUCACAAACCUCUGAAAGUGAUUAGAAUGUGAAAUUUAUAAAGUUAAUAUAUACAACUUUCAGCAACGGAUCUCUUGGCUCUCGCAUCGAUGAAGAACGCAGCGAAAUGCGAUAAGUAAUGUGAAUUGCAGAAUUCAGUGAAUCAUCGAAUCUUUGAACGCAUCUUGCGCUCCUUGGUAUUCCGAGGAGCAUGCCUGUUUGAGUGUCAUUUAAAUUCUCAACUGUACCAAUUUCUUCUUUUGGUGUGGCUUGGAUGUGGGGGUUGUUUUUGCAGGCUUCUUCUCAUCGUUGAAGUCAGCUCCCCUGAAAUGAAUUAGUGGUAUCUGAGCUACUACAGGUGUGAUAAAUUAUCUAUGCCUCUAGUUAUGCUGAUUGUGCUGCUUCUAAAACCAAAAAACCUUUGAUAAAUUUGACCUCAAAUCAGGUAGGACUACCGCUGAACUUAAGCAUAUCAAUAAGCGGAGGAAAGAAACUACAAGGAUUCCCCUAGUAACUGCGAGUGAAGCGGGAAAAGCUCAAAUUUGAAAUCUGGCAGUUCUUGACUGUCCGAGUUGUAAUCUAGAGAAGUGUUACCUGUGCUGGACCGUGUACAAGUCUCCUGGAAUGGAGCAUCAUAGAGGGUGAGAAUCCCGUCUUUGACAUGGACUACCUGUACAUUAUGGUGCGCUCUCGAAGAGUCGAGUUGUUUGGGAAUGCAGCUCAAAAUGGGUGGUAAAUGCCAUCUAAAGCUAAAUAUUGGCGAGAGACCGAUAGCGAACAAGUACCGUGAGGGAAAGAUGAAAAGAACUUUGGAAAGAGAGUUAAACAGUACGUGAAAUUGCUGAAAGGGAAACGCUUGAAGUCAGUCGCAUUGGCUAGAAAUCAACUUUGCUUUUGCUUGGUGUACUUUCUGGUUCAAUGGGUCAGCAUCAAUUUUGACCACUGGAUAAAGUCUCUGGGAAUGUAGCAUCUUAGGAUGUGUUAUAGCCCAUUGUUGCAUACGGUGGUUGGGAUUGAGGAACUCAGCACGCCGCAAGGCCGGGUUUCGACCACGUUUCGUGCUUAGGAUGCUGGCAUAAUGGCUUUAAUCGACC
rnacentral:rRNA from 1 species